rnacentral:rRNA from 1 species
CUGCUGCCUUCCGUAGGAGUCUGGGCCGUGUCUCAGUCCCAAUGUGGCCGUUCAACCUCUCAGUCCGGCUACCGAUCGUCGGCUUGGUGAGCCGUUACCUCACCAACUACCUAAUCGGACGCGAGCCCAUCUUCGAGCGAUAAAAUCUUUGAUACCAGCAGGAUGUCCUCCCGGUAUGUUAUGCGGUAUUAGCGACCGUUUCCAGCCGUUAUUCCCCUCUCGAAGGCAGGUUGCUCACGUGUUACUCACCCGUCCGCCAA